rnacentral:rRNA from 1 species
GACGAACGCUGGCGGCGUGCUUAACACAUGCAAGUCGAACGCUGAAGCUCAGCUUUUGUUGGGUGGAUGAGUGGCGAACGGGUGAGUAACACGUGAGUAACCUGCCUCCUUCUUUGGGAUAACGCCCGGAAACGGGUGCUAAUACUGGAUAUUCACUGGUCUUCGCAUGGGGGUUGGUGGAAAGGGUUUUUCUGGUGGGGGAUGGGCUCGCGGCCUAUCAGCUUGUUGGUGGGGUGAUGGCCUACCAAGGCUUUGACGGGUAGCCGGCCUGAGAGGGUGACCGGUCACAUUGGGACUGAGAUACGGCCCAGACUCCUACGGGAGGCAGCAGUGGGGAAUAUUGCGCAAUGGGCGCAAGCCUGAUGCAGCGACGCGGCGUGAGGGAUGGAGGCCUUCGGGUUGUGAACCUCUUUCGCUCAUGGUCAAGCCGCAACAAUGGUUGUGGUGAGGGUAGUGGGUAAAGAAGCGCCGGCUAACUACGUG